AGUGAACGCUGGCGGCGUGCUUAACACAUGCAAGUCGAACGAUGAAGCUCUAGCUUGCUAGAGUGGAUUAGUGGCGCACGGGUGAGUAAUGUAUAGCUAAUGUGCCCCUUAGAGGGGGAUAACAGUUGGAAACGACUGCUAAUACCCCAUACUCCUUCUUCCUAUAAGGGAAGUUGGGAAAGUUUUUUCGCUAAGGGAUCGGGCUAUAUGGUAUCAGCUUGUUGGUGAGGUAAUGGCUCACCAAGGCUAUGACGCCUAUCUGGUCUGAGAGGAUGAUCAGACACACUGGAACUGAGACACGGUCCAGACUCCUACGGGAGGCAGCAGUGGGGAAUAUUACACAAUGGAGGAAACUCUGAUGUAGCAACGCCGCGUGGAGGAUGACACAUUUCGGUGCGUAAACUCCUUUUAUAUGGGAAGAUAAUGACGGUACCAUAUGAAUAAGCACCGGCUAACUCCGUGCCAGCAGCCGCGGUAAUACGGAGGGUGCAAGCGUUACUCGGAAUCACUGGGCGUAAAGCGCGCGCAGGCGGUCUUUUAAGUUGGAUGUGAAAUCCUAUGGCUCAACCAUAGAACUGCAUCCAAAACUGAAAGACUAGAGUCUG
rnacentral:rRNA from 1 species